UACGUAGGGAGCAAGCGUUGUCCGGAAUCAUUGGGCGUAAAGCGCGCGUAGGCGGCCCUGUAAGUCCGUUGUGAAAGUCAAAGGCUCAACCUUUGAAAGCCGAUGGAUACUGCAGGGCUAGAGUCCGGAAGAGGCGAGUGGAAUUCCUGGUGUAGCGGUGGAAUGCGCAGAUAUCAGGAGGAACACCGGUGGCGAAGGCGGCUAUCUGGCCUCAUAUUGACGCUGAGAUGCGAAAGUGCGGGGAUCAAACAGG
rnacentral:rRNA from 1 species